UAUUAUACAUAUUUUAAAUAGGCAUACUGCCGGUGAGUGGUUUUUCCCCAGAAAAGAAGAAGAAGGAUGGAAGCAAUUUGAAGCGACGGUAGGCCGAAGCAUGAAGUGAGUGUGAAGGAGAGGAAGAGGAAAAUGAGGGAAAGCAGCGGUAUGAACUCAGUGUUCUAUGCAAAAUCAUAUCAUCCAAUUCAAGCCGGAAGCAUCGACGGCACUGAUAUCCUCCCCCACGACAGCGCUAUUUACCGUGCUUUCCUCUGUUCUUCUGCCGCCCUCUAUGACCCAUUUGGCGACCCCAAAGUUAUCGGCGACCCUUACUGCACUGUUUUCGUGGGUCGCCUUUCUCAUUCCACCACUCAACAAACUCUUCACAAUGCUAUGAGCAAAUAUGGCAAAGUUAAGAACUUGCGGUUGGUCAGAGACAUUGUAACUGGUGCGUCGCGAGGCUAUGCCUUUGUUGAAUACGAGACUGAAAGAGAGAUGCGCCGUGCUUACAUGGAUGGUCAUCAUUCCAUCAUUGAUGACUCGGAAGUACUAGUUGAUUAUAACAGGCAGCAGUUGAUGCGUGGCUGGAUCCCAAGAAGGUUAGGAGGAGGCCUUGGUGGAAGGAAAGAGUCUGGACAGCUGCGUUUUGGUGGACGGGAAAGACCAUUUCGAGCUCCUCUGCAAUCAAUUCCUUUUGAUGAAUUGAAGAGGCUUGGCAUUUCUCCUCCACCAGAAGGAAGAUACAUGUCACGUUUUCAGGUCCCAUCGCCACCUAGAAGAAAUCGAAGCUCAAUAGAAGAAGAAAGUUCUCACAGGAGAAGAUCUAGGUCCACCCACAAGGAAGAGUACAGACAUAGAAGUAGCUCCGUGGAGAGGGAAGAACACCACAGCGAAAGAAGCACUAGGAGCAGGGAACGCAGACACAGAAGCAGAUCAGUGGAGAGGGAAGAAAACUACAGCAGGAGCAAAGAAGACUACAAAGAGAAGGCAGAAUACCACAAAGGGAGCUCUGUUGAUAUAUCGGAGCCUCUCCAUGGAAACUUCCCUGAAAGAGAGGAUUACCAUUAUUCAAGGAGCUCCUUGGACAGAGAAAUGCACAACCAGAAAAGAAACCUUAAAGGCAGUGAAGAAAAGUUCUCAGAUGUUGAGGGUUUUUAUCAUACAAGUUCUAGGGAUAGAAAAGAAAGCUCAGGGAAGCGCCACAAGCACAGUAGUAAAUCUGAUAGACAUAAAAGCAGGCGGCGGGAUCACUCUUCUGAAAGAUGAUUAUAGACAAGUUAGUUGCAGUGAAACCAUAGAUGGCAAGGGAGUCUUUUUGUUUAGCUGUAGUAAGGUGAGAAGUCUUAUGUGAGAUUCCGGUACAUAAAUGACCUUUUUUAUUUGUAAGUAGCUUCACUAAAGUUGAAAAUACAGUUGAGGGAGGGUGCAACUGUUGCUUAAAUAAAUUUGUUCUGCAGUUGCUACUAAAUUUUUUAAUGAUUAAUCAGCUAAACCCUAGACUUUAUACAGAGCAA